rnacentral:rRNA from 1 species
UACGUAGGGGGCAAGCGUUGUCCGGAAUCAUUGGGCGUAAAGAGCGUGUAGGCGGCCAGAAAAGUCCGCUGUGAAAACUCGAGGCUCAACUUCGAGCUGUCGGUGGAAACUUUCUGGCUAGAGUCCGGAAGAGGAGAAUGGAAUUCCUGGUGUAGCGGUGAAAUGCGCAGAUAUCAGGAAGAACACCGAUGGCGAAAGCAGCUCUCUGGGACGGUACUGACGCUGAGGCGCGAAAGCGUGGGGAGCGAACAGG